GCGCAAGCUCUACACACGCAGCGAGCGCUAAAAGAAGCUGCUUUCUGAGAGCGGCCGACGGUGACUACUCCUAGAAUCUGCCUGGUAGUGGGGACAACGUCGGAAACGGACGCUAUGUCGCAUACUUCUACGUGAGAAAGCAGGGGCGCUUGAGGCCUUGCGCUAUCAGAUGACCUAGUCGGAUUAGCUAGUUGGUUGGGUAAUUGAUUACCAAGCGACGAUCCGUAACUGGUCUGAGAGGAUGAUCAGUCACACUGGAACUGAGACACGGUCCAGUCACCUAUCGGGAGGCAGUAGUGGGGAAUAUUGGACAAUGGGCGAAAGCCUGAUCCAGCCAUGCCGCGUGUGUGAAGAAGGUCUUCGGAUUGUAACGCACUUUAAGUUGGGAGGAAGGGUUGUAGAUUAAUACUCUGCAAUUUUGUCGUUACCGACAGAAUAAGCACCGGCUAACUCUGUGCCUGUAGCCGCGGUAAUACAGAGGGUGCAAGCGUUAAUCGGAAUUACUGGGCGUAAAGCGCGCGUAGGUGGUUUGUUAAGUUGGAUGUGAAAUCCCCGGGCUCAACCUGGGAACUGCAUUCAAAACUGGCUGACUAGAGUAUGGUAGAGGGUGGUGGAAUUUCCUGUGUAGCGGUGAAAUGCGUAGAUAUAGGAAGGAACGCCAGUGGCGAAGGCGACCACCUGGACUAAUACUGACACUGAGGUGCGACAGCGUCCGAGCAAACAGG
rnacentral:rRNA from 1 species